GAUGAACGCUAGCGGCAGGCCUAAUACAUGCAAGUCGAACGGGUGGUCGCAAGACCACUAGUGGCGCACGGGUGCGUAACGCGUAACCAACCUGCCCCGAUCUGGGGGAUAGCCCGCCGAAAGGCGGAUUAAUACCGCAUAUACCCGCAGCCUGGCAUCAGGCAACGGGGAAAGAUUUAUUGGAUCGGGAUGGGGUUGCGUGACAUUAGCUAGUUGGCGGGGUAAGGGCCCACCAAGGCGACGAUGUCUAGGGGACCUGAGAGGGUGAUCCCCCACACUGGCACUGAGAUACGGGCCAGACUCCUACGGGAGGCAGCAGUAGGGAAUAUUGGGCAAUGGGCGAGAGCCUGACCCAGCUAUGCCGCGUGCCGGAUGAAGGCCUUCUGGGUUGUAAACGGCUUUUCUCAGGGAAGAAAAAGACCUUGCGAGGUACACUGACGGUACCUGAGGAAUAAGCACCGGCUAACUCCGUG
rnacentral:rRNA from 1 species